AGCCAUGGCCAUGGCGAAGGAUUAGAGAGUUUUCUAGACCAUGUUAUGUUGGUCUGUUGCAGGUAGUAGGUGUGACUGUGUGGCAGCGUACUGGGCAUUUACUACUGUUCUAUCAUCUGUUAUAUUUCCUUCAGUUCAUGUAUGUUGUUGUUGUCAUGGAACAUGUUAUAAGACCUAUGGAUCCACUAGUGUGUAGAAAACUUGUUGCAUGGUUUAGUAUUUAAA